rnacentral:snRNA from 1 species
AGCUUUGUGCAGUGGCAGUAUUGUACCAAUGAGGUUUAUCCAAGGUGUGAUUAUUGCUACUUAAAAAGUUGAUCAGUGCUGUGAUCCUAAUAGAUUUAAAAAAAUCACCUAACUUGGAAGACAGAGGUUUAAACAUGCAAUGUAUAUGGAACUGUGAAAAAUGGAUAUCCAU